UUGUCUCAAAGAUUAAGCCAUGCAUGUCUCAGUACAAGCCUAAUUAAGGUGAAACCGCGAAAGGCUCAUUAAAUCAGUUAUGGUUCCUUAGAUCGUACACAAAUUUACUUGGAUAACUGUGGUAAUUCUAGAGCUAAUACAUGCAAAUAGAGCUCCGACCGGAGACGGAAGGAGUGCUUUUAUUAGAUCAAAACCAAUCGGUGACGGGCUCGCCCGUCAUCGCACAACUUGGUGACUCUGAAUAACUUUACGCUGAUCGCACGGUCUCGCACCGGCGACGCAUCUUUCAAAUGUCUGCCUUAUCAACUGUCGAUGGUAGGUUCUGCGCCUACCAUGGUUGUAACGGGUAACGGGGAAUCAGGGUUCGAUUCCGGAGAGGGAGCCUGAGAAACGGCUACCACAUCCAAGGAAGGCAGCAGGCGCGCAAAUUACCCACUCCCGGCACGGGGAGGUAGUGACGAAAAAUAACGAUACGGGACUCAUCCGAGGCCCCGUAAUCGGAAUGAGUACACUCUAAACCCUUUAACGAGGAUCAAUUGGAGGGCAAGUCUGGUGCCAGCAGCCGCGGUAAUUCCAGCUCCAAUAGCGUAUAUUAAAGUUGUUGCGGUUAAAAAGCUCGUAGUCGAAUCUGUGUCUCGCGCCGCCGGUUCAUCGUCCGCGGUGCCAACUGGCGAGUCGUAAGACGUAUUGCCGGUGGGCUUAGCCCGCAAGGGCGGCCCAAAUAAUCCCGCCGCGGUGCUCUUCACUGAGUGUCGAGGUAGGCCGGCACGUUUACUUUGAACAAACUAGAGUGCUUAAAGCAGGCUAAAACUUUGCCUGAAUAUGUGUGCAUGGAAUAAUGGAAUAGGACCUCGGUUCUAUUUUGUUGGUUUUCGGAACCCCGAGGUAAUGAUUAAUAGGAACGGAUGGGGGCAUUCGUAUUGCGACGUGAGAGGUGAAAUUUCUUGGACCGUCGCAAGACGAACAGAAGCGAAAGCAUUUGCCAAAAACGCUUUCAUUGAUCAAGAACGAAAGUCAGAGGUUCGAAGGCGAUCAGAUACCGCCCUAGUUCUGACCAUAAACUAUGCCAGCUAGCGAUCCGCCGACGUUCCUCCGAUGACUCGGCGGGCAGCUUCCGGGAAACCAAAGCUAUUGGGUUCCGGGGGAAGUAUGGUUGCAAAGCUGAAACUUAAAGGAAUUGACGGAAGGGCACCACCAGGAGUGGAGCCUGCGGCUUAAUUUGACUCAACACGGGAAACCUCACCAGGCCCGGACACCGGAAGGAUUGACAGAUUGAGAGCUCUUUCUUGAUUCGGUGGGUGGUGGUGCAUGGCCGUUCUUAGU
rnacentral:rRNA from 1 species